AUAAACCCGGGAAACUGGGUAUAAUACCCGAUAGAUCUCGGCUGCUGGAAUGCAUCGAGCUCUAAAGCUCCGGCGCCUGAGGAUGGGUCUGCGGCCUAUCAGGUAGUAGUGGGUGUAGCGUACCUACUAGCCUACGACGGGUACGGGUUGUGAGAGCAAGAGCCCGGAGAUGGAUUCUGAGACACGAAUCCAGGCCCUACGGGGUGCAGCAGGCGCGAAAACUUUACAAUGCCGGCAACGGCGAUAAGGGGACCUCGAGUGCCAGGUUACAAAUCUGGCUGUCGUGAUGCCUAAAAAGCAUUGCAUAGCAAGGGCCGGGCAAGACCGGUGCCAGCCGCCGCGGUAACACCGGCGGCUCGAGUGGUAACCGUUAUUAUUGGGUCUAAAGGGUCUGUAGCCGGCCGGAUAAGUCUCUUGGGAAAUCCAGCAGCUUAACUGUUGGGCUUUCAGGAGAUACUGUCUGGCUCGAGGCCGGGAGAGGUGAGAGGUACUUCAGGGGUAGGGGUGAAAUCUUGUAAUCCUUGAAGGACCACCAGUGGCGAAGGCGUCUCACCAGAACGGACCUGACGGCAAGGGACGAAAGCUAGGGGCACGAACCGGAUUAGAUACCCGGGUAGUCCUAGCCGUAAACGAUACUCGCUAGGUGUCGGCCACGGUGCGACCGUUGUCGGUGCCGUAGGGAACGCCGUGAAGCGCAGCCACCUGGGAAGU
rnacentral:rRNA from 1 species